GAUGAAGAACGCAGCAAAAUGCGAUAAGUAAUGUGAAUUGCAGAAUUCAGUGAAUCAUCGAAUCUUUGAACGCACAUUGCGCCCGCCAGUAUUCUGGCGGGCAUGCCUGUUCGAGCGUCAUUUCAACCCUCAAGCACAGCUUGGUGUUGGGACUCGCGUUAAUUCGCGUUCCCCAAAUUGAUUGGCGGUCACGUCGGGCUUCCAUAGCGUAGUAGUAAAACCCUCGUUACUGGUAAUCGUCGCAGCCACGCCGUUAAACCCCAACUUCUGAAUGUUGACCUCGGAUCAGGUAGGAAUACCCGCUGAACUUAAGCAUAUCAAUAAGCGGAGGA
rnacentral:misc_RNA from 1 species